UACGGGGGGAGCAAGCGUUGUUCGGAUUUACUGGGCGUAAAGGGCGCGUAGGCGGUCAGCACAAGUCAGUUGUGAAAUCUCCGGGCUUAACUCGGAAAGGUCAACUGAUACUGUGCGACUAGAGUGCGAGAAGGGGCAACUGGAAUUCUCGGUGUAGCGGUGAAAUGCGUAGAUAUCGAGAGGAACACCUGCGGCGAAGGCGGGUUGCUGGGCUGACACUGACGCUGAUGCGCGAAAGCCAGGGGAGGCGAACGGG
rnacentral:rRNA from 1 species